CCUACGGGAGGCAGCAGUGGGGAAUAUUGCACAAUGGGGGAAACCCUGAUGCAGCGACGCCGCGUGAGUGAAGAAGUAAUUCGUUAUGUAAAGCUCUAUCAGCAGGGGAGAAAAUGCCGGUACCUGAGUCAGAAGCCGCGGCUAACUACGUGCCAGCAGCCGCGGGAAUACGUAGGGGGCAGGCGUUAUUCGGAUUUCCUGGGUGUAAAGGGAGCGUAGACGGCAGUGCAAGUCUGGAGUGAAAGGCGGGGGCUCAACCCCCGGACUGCCCUGGAAACUGUACGGCUGGAGUGCAGGAGAGGUAAGUGGAAUUCCUAGUGUAGCGGUGAAAUGCGUAGAUAUUAGGAGGAACACCAGUGGCGAAGGCGGCUUACUGGACUCUAACUGACGUUGAGGCUCGAAAGCGUGGGGAGCAAACAGGAUUAGAUACCCGGGUAGUC
rnacentral:rRNA from 1 species